CACUAUGCUUAGCUGUAAACAAUGAUGGGACCUCACACUCAACCCAUCCGCCCGGAUACUACGAGCGCAAGCUUAAAACCCAAAGGACUUGGCGGUGCUUUAGACCCAACUAGAGGAGCCUGUUCUCCAACCGACACUUCCCGUUAAACCUCACCCUUUCUCGUAACUUACAGCCUGUAUACCGCCGUCGCCAGCCUACCCUAUGAUGGACCCGCAGUGAGCUUGAACGAUAACCCUACUCCAGAAUGACAGGUCGAGGCGCAGCUUAUGAAAGGGGCUAAGAAUGGGCUACAUUCGCUUACUUCAAGCGCAUACGGAAACUUAACACUGAAAUACAUAGGUUGAAGGUGGAUCUAGCAGUAAGAGGGGAAUAGCGUGCCCCUCUGAAGCAGGCCAGAAAGCGCGCACACACCGCCCGUCACUCUCCCUUAGCCACAUACCACGGUAACAUCAUUUUAUUCCAAAAGGUUCAUGAUAACGAGGGGAGGAAAGUCGAAA
rnacentral:rRNA from 1 species